rnacentral:rRNA from 1 species
UUGGGCGUAAAGCGCGUCUAGGUGGUUAUGUAAGUCUGAUGUGAAAAUGCAGGGCUCAACUCUGUAUUGCGUUGGAAACUGUAUAACUAGAGUACUGGAGAGGUAAGCGGAACUACAAGUGUAGAGGUGAAAUUCGUAGAUAUUUGUAGGAAUGCCGAUGGGGAAGCCAGCUUACUGGACAGAUACUGACGCUAAAGCGCGAAAGCGUGGGUAGCAAACAGGAUUAGAUACCCUGGUAGUCCACGCUGUAAACGAUGAUUACUAGGUGUUGGGGGUCGAACCUCAGCGCCCAAGCAAACGCGAUAAGUAAUCCGCCUGGGGAGUACGUACGCAAGUAUGAAACUCAAAGGAAUUGACGGGGACCCGCACAAGCGGUGGAGCAUGUGGUUUAAUUCGACGCAACGCGAGGAACCUUACCAGCGUUUGACAUCUUAGGAAUGAGAUAGAGAUAUUUCAGUGUCCCUUCGGGGAAACCUAAAGACAAGUGGUGCAUGGCUGUCGUCAGCUCGUGUCGUGAG